rnacentral:rRNA from 1 species
AAUCAUUAGUUUUUUAAUUGAAAGCUUGAAUGAAUGGUUGGACAAAAAAUAGUCUGUCUUAAUUUAAUACAUUGAAUUUAACUUUUAAGUAAAAAGGCUUAAAUUAUUUAAAGUGACGAUAAGACCCUAUAAAAUUUAAUAAUUUAAAAUUAUGUAAGUGGAUUAGUUAUUUAAAGGUUUUUUAGUUUAAUUUAUUUUAUUGGGGCGAUAAAAAUAAAAAUAAUAACUGUUUUAAAAGUUUAUAAUAAAGAUUAUUAGUUAUAUUAAAUGAUCCUUUAAUAAAGAUUAUGAGAUUAAGU